UGCUUUUGCAAAAACUAAUAGCUAAGUUAUUUUAUAUCCUGGAACACAGGAAUUGCUGGUCUACUUUUGUCUUUUUUGCUACUGUGUGACUUUGGUAAAUCCAAACUAACCCUUUAAAACACCAGAGUCACACACUAACACAAACUAACUAGCAGAUCAAGAGAGUGGUAGACCAGCAACCACAGUGAAGUGUGGUUGGUUUGGAGAGAGCAAUAUUUGGUUUAUAUGAAAGUGGCGUCCCAUCAGAAAAGGAGUGUCUGUUGGCAAGGUGAAGCAGUGACAAUAGUCUAAAUACAGCAUACACUUGCUUACACAGCUGAUCAUCUAAUGUUGGUAAUACAAUGACUUUGGAUCUCACAGUACCUCAUACACCCCACUUCAAACAGUCCACCUAUCCCUUUAAAAUCAUUAGAUAAACAUGUGAACUCUGUUGAAGGGUGACACUAGUGAUUCCUAUAAACUCAACAGAAAAUAUUUACAGUAAUAAUUAUUUUAAGUUAAAUAAAUGUUUUAAUACUGAAAUGUGAUUCUGCUUUUGUGUUCAACAGAUUUGUGCAGAGUUCUACCGUGUCAUCACCAAGGAGCUAUUGGGGAUCUUCAGAUCAGCCUCAGAUGAGUACUCUACUCGCCAUUGGUCAAGAAAUGGAAAAACUCCUUGACAAGCUUGAUUACCAGACAUCUGACAUUGGAGUACACAGAAGGAACACAUCCCUGCAAGGUAUACCCCUGUUUCUUCACAAGGAUUCAGAGAAGCUCUUCAGGACAUGCUUGGUGAGUACAGUAGGAGGCUCAACAUUUUUAGAUUUGUGGGAAGGAAUUGGUUCCUAAUUUUUAAUUUUCAGUAAUCUCUAAAUUUGGCACCACCUUCAUGUUUUUAUCAGGAAACUGAUCCAGAUGACAGUCAGACAAGAGGACUCAAGAUUGGUAUCCUCACUGUCCUUGAAGAUGAUGGUGCCCCUACCUUGCUGUCCAGAGUCCAGAAUAUUGCUGUUUUGUUGGAAGAGGACAUUGUCCUCACAGAUCUCCCAGACCUCCCCACUGCGUUCGCCUUACUGUUUGGCCUGCUCUAUGCCUUGAACAUCAAUUUCCCCAAAGAAAACAGGUACACCUUUGAAGUGAUCGAGACCAUCUUUAUGAAACUUUCCACCAACUGCACACAGCGUGUCAGGAGCCUCAAAACCAAGCUUUUACUGUAAGUCAGCUAAAACCUGACUCAAAAAGUCAAUACUAUUUCUUAAAGCGAUACUUAACAUUUUUUUUCUUGUAAUUAGCCUCUCAACCGAGAUCCAGACAAGAGGAUAGAUAUCAUUUUUUAGACUGUGCGUGCAUUAACAAGAAACAGAUGUGUAGAGAUCACCCAGCGCUAAUUAGCUUAACUCCAAUGAACGGUAGUAAACGGGAUUCACUCUGCUUAGUCAUCAGAUAAACUUUUCAACGGUGUAAACGGUCCUGUUUGCUUGAAAAAGACAACAAAAUAAAAUGUCUGUCCUUCUCCUCGUACAUAGACAUUUUAUUUUGUUGACUACUUCUUCCUGUUGUUCUUGUGCUGUUGCUGCACUUUACUUCCUGUAAGUAUUUGAUUAAAAAUAACAUCACUCGCUAAUCUGACUCUAAAAAUAACAUAACUGGGUAAAUAAACAAAUCACAACAAGCAAACAGGACCGUUUACACCGUUGGAAAGUUUAUCUGAUGACUAAGCGGAGUGAAUCCCGUUUACUACCGUUCAUUGGAGCUAAGCUAAUUAGCGGUGGGUGAUCUCUACACAUCUGUUUCUUGUAAAUUCACGAAAAAAUGUUAUCCUCUUGUCUGGAUCGGGGUUGAGAGGCUAAUAACCAGAAGAAAAAAAAUGGUAGGAGAAUCGCUUUAUGUUGCUUUUGGCUACAUGCAGACGUGCAUGGCAAACUUUUUUGUUUUGUUUUUAUGGGUGUUUUAUUCAGUUGGAUAAUGCUGCCCAUUUUACAAUGUUAAAUUGUAUGCCUUUAACUGGCAUUGUUUUUUGAAAUUUUACAUAAAACUGUUGUGUUGUGAACCGCACAGGUUUUGCGUAUUUGUAUUUGACACGGCCACUUCAGAUAUGUCAGCAAUGUUGUUGCUGUUGUUACAAUUGUAAUGCACUGCACAAUGACAUGUUUACGAGAUGGUAAAUAUGUCUUGAUUGUAUUUGACCAUAGGUCAAUAACACUUGAAGUUACUAUUGUUAUGGAGCUACUUGUUCUGCACUUGGGUUUGCUGCAUUAAGACAGUGAUUCUCUGCUGCUGAAGUAGCUGUGGUACAUCUUGCUUGUUCUACUGCUGUCUGGCAUUCAGAAAUGUAAAAUGGAACAGUUUCCAAUUAUUACUUUUAAUAAAGUAUGAAGUAAACUUUAAACUUGUUUUGUAUUCUUUGAAGUGCAAUUUUAAAUGUUAUUAACCUUAACUUGAAAUAUUAAGUUAACA
rnacentral:lncRNA from 1 species